UACGUAGGGGGCAAGCGUUGUCCGGAUUUAUUGGGCGUAAAGAGCGUGUAGGCGGUCAGGUAGGUCCGUUGUGAAAACUCGAGGCUCAACCUCGAGACGCCGAUGGAAACCAUCUGACUAGAGUCCGGAAGAGGCGAGUGGAAUUCCUGGUGUAGCGGUGAAAAUGCGCAGAUAUCAGGAGGAACACCGAUGGCGAAGGCAGCUCGCUGGGACGGUACUGACGCUGAGGCGCGAAAGCGUGGGGAGCAAACGGG
rnacentral:rRNA from 1 species